AGUAAAUAUCGCAAUAUAUCGUGAUACUGAUCUCAUUAUUUAUUAAUAUUAGAAUUAAAAUAACAUUAUCACAUUUACACAUCAAAAAUAUUCAUAUUGAUUAAUAUUGACGGAUCACGAUAAUUGCGAUAUUUAUUGACUGCCUUUUUUUCUAAAGUUGACUGAUGAAGAUAAAAUUCAUCAUUAAAAAAUCAGCACUGAUUUUUAACUUAUUGAGUCACUCAUUGUGAGUCAGUGUGACUCACAAUGAGAGACUAGUAUUAAGUAAUAUAGUAUUUAGAAUUAUUAUUGUACUUAUAUUAUUACGACUCUCUGGAAAUAUUGUCCUGGUGAAUUGACUAGUUAAAUUAAAUAUACUGUUAUUUAUCACAAAAACAUAAAUAACUGAUAACUAAUUGGUUUUUGCAAAGUAAAUCUUGUCGGUUUGAAAUAAACAUGUAUUUAACAUUUGUUUACUUAAUUAUAUUUUUAUAAUUUUUAUGAUAGUAUUCAGUGUUGUUGGUAGGUUCGAUUCCUGCCGGUUUCGCAAUUUUUGGUAUGUAUUCAAAAUUAUUUGUUUAUUUUUUUGUGGUAAGAUCGAUUUCUAACAUUUUUUUUUAAAUUAAAUUGCCAAUACAUUUUAUUAAGAACUACCUGAUGCCCGCAACUUUCUCCGCGUGGAUUUAAGUUUUUAAAACUCGCACGAGUACUCUUUGAUUUGCCGGAAUAAAAAUUAGUUUUUGGUCUAUAUACCUACUAUACUCAUCCAAAAGAAAAACCACGUCAAUCCAUUUCGACGUGAUUGAAAUACAAACCAACGUACCUACAUACACACUUUCGCAUUGAUAAUAAUAUGGGUAGGGAUAAAUACAAGAAAAGCCUGUAGAUACUGUAAGGAUUUAAUAUGAUCAAGCUAAAAACAUCCUAUUAUGAAUGUGCCUUACCUUUAAUGUAUAAUUUUCUAAAUAGGCUAAUAAUAAAAAUAGGUUCUAAUAUAAGUUUUAGUAUUUUUGUUAACAUGAAUCCGUCCAUUGAAAAUGUACCAUCCAUUGAAAAUGUUCUUUUAGAAUCUCUUUAUAUACCUAAUUAAAAUAUAAUUAUACUGUUUACAAAGACAAAAGUUGUUUCCUUUAUAUUAUUCUGGGUUUCAUUUAUAGGAAAAUUAUAUUAUUAGAAAACAUUUAGUAUUAUUGGAAGUGAUAAAAUGAUUGCAUUCUUUAAAUACAAAAUAUCUCAGUGCAAAAUGAGCAUUCAAGUGCUGUCACAUUCUGAUUUAUAGAAAAUGUAUUAUACUUGACUUGAGGAAGAUAACAAAGUUUGUAGAUGUAAAUAAGAAAACUAAACAACUUAAAUGGCUCUGGACAGGUCUUAUACUAA